GGAUAGCUCAGUUGGUUAGAGCAUGGUGUUGAUGACACCAAGGUUGCAGGUUUGAUCCUGAUAAGGGACAGCUACA
rnacentral:tRNA from 1 species